rnacentral:sRNA from 1 species
AUGCAUCAGAGGAAUUUACUAAACCACCCUCUGAUGCACCCUGCAUGCAGUGCCACCUCACCCUGCAUGCAGUGCCACCUUUGGCACAAGAAGAAAUCAGAGGAAUUUACUAAACCACCCUCUGAUGCAUCAGAGGAAUUUACUAAACCACCCUCUGAUGCAGUGCCACCUUUGGCACAAGAAGAAGUCACAUAUCUAAGACACAAAAACUCCACUCCUCUACUCCUACAUACUCUCCCUCACCUUCCUUCCUCUACUCCUACAUACUCUCCCUCACCUUCCUUUACUCCUCCUACAUGGGUGAGAAUGAAUAUAUAUAUAUAUAUAUUUUACUUUUGUUGGUUUCAGUAUUUCAUUCAAUUAAUUUUCUCUUGGUUACUGCAGGGAACGAGCUUAAUUCAGACAUAGUUCUUGGCCUGGUCAUUCUCAUCAUCACACUCCUCUCAUUUUCCAGGUUUUUAACUAACAACACUGCUAUGUUAAUACCAACUAUGUGGAUUUUAAUUUUACAUAACUUCGAGCUUGCAAUAUAAAUAAGUUGAAACAGAGUGUGCACUGCUUCAUGCUCUGUUUUUAUUGGUUCUUUUGAAUUGCGUAGCUUGAAUUGUCCAUGAGGUUUGCAGUUUCUUUUUUCAGUUUGCAGAAUCUAUAUUGUGUGGAUCUAUUGUGGUUUGUAAUGUUCUAUGAAUAAAGUGAUUUUAGUCUAAUACUUUUUCAGGGCUUAGGAAAAUUUGAAGUGUUUGAUCUAUUGUGGUUUGUAACGCCCUGUUUUUAUUUUUUCUCCAAACUUGCUGAGGUUUAUGAAUAAUUGUGUGGAUCUGGACCGUUUUCUUUCUGCUGGCCGGUUUGGGAAUGUUUGCAGAAUCUAUAUUGUGUGGAUCUAUUGUGGUUUGUAAUGUUCUAUGAAUAAAGUGAUUUUAGUCUAAUACUUUUUCAGGGCUUAGGAAAAUUUGAAGUGUUUGAUCUAUUGUGGUUUGUAACGCCCUGUUUUUAUUUUUUCUCCAAACUUGCUGAGGUUUAUGAAUAAUUGUGUGGAUCUGGACCGUUUUCUUUCUGCUGGCCGGUUUGGGAAAAUGUUUUGGGCCUCUACAACCAAAUCUUCCAUUUUGGGCUCAUAAACAAAAGAUGUGGAUUUGGAUAGAUAUUUAUAGAAGCCCCAAAUCAACCUGAAUAGGUCACUCUUUUUCAUCCUCUCUUUUGAGGAAUGGUUCUUAGUCAUUUUCCUAAUCGUCAAUCAAAAAUUAUGAUUGAUGCGUAUCAAAUAGCUCUUUUGUAUGAUCUGGAACUAGGUUUCCAUAUUUUGGUUUCCCUGACAAACCAAAUAACGGUUGUCUUUUUUGGACAAGUUUGCCUUAUCCAUUUGAGCUAUUUUUUUCUUGUGUCCUAUCUCCUAUGUGGUACAAUAGGGUACUUUCCAAAAGUUAGAUUUGGGUAUAGCAUAAGCUUCAAGUCCAAAUACUCCAAACCAUUUAAUUGAACCAAACACAUGUAGAUAAUUAGUCCAAAAAUUAACGUCUCUGGUGGAUGAGAGUUGAAGACGUCUAGAUAUAAUGGGUUGACCAACAUUUUAACCCAACUAGUAAAUUUGUUUUAGGCCAUUUUAACUAAAUUAAAAGUACGAAUAAUUUUUUUCCCCCAAAUAUAAUCCCAACACUGUUCUAAUCAAUUAAUUGCCAAUAUGAUCAUAAAAAUAAAAACCAUAGUAAAAGAAAAUAAUUCUAAAAAAAAAUAUAAUAAAGGAAAAUACUUUUUACAUAUUUUAGUGUCAGUCAUAAAUAAACAACUAGGAACUAGAAAGAAAUAAAGGAUGACCCUCAUGAUGGGUUAGCUUAAUAAAUAACAAAAGAAAACAAUAGUGGGAUAAGAAAACUAGAAAUAAGUGAUAGUUUUUUUUUUUCUUUCACUAUCACGUUUACCUAACAAAGUUGAAUUAUUAGAGAUUAUAUAGGAUUUCUCAUUAAGAUUUACCGUAAGUGACUCUUAAGGCCUAAUUGAGAUAGAGAGGAAUGAGAUGGGGAAAAUGCAAAUAAUAAUCAUUUCCUUAUAAUAUUUGUUUAUAUAUAUAUAUGUGUGUGUGUGUGUGUGUAUACAUAUAUAUUUGUGAUUAAUAAUACAUUAAUUUAUAAAUAUUAUAUAGUAAAAUUCAUUGUAACCUUAGCAUCACUCACACGAUAAAUCUAAGGACAACAUUUUUCAUGAUUUAUUUCACAGCUCCUAAUAUGGCUUAUUGUAUAACAAAAGUAGUAUUGGUCUACAACAAAAGUGGUAUUAGUAACAAAAUUGAUUGAAAAUAAUAUUAUUCUAAUCCUAACCAAUUACCAGUCGAAAAAUAUUAUAUUCUCAACAUUACUCUUUUUAUUACACGAAUAUUAGCAACGUGUGUCAAGAUGCUUAAAAUUAGAAUAGCUUAAAGGGAGUGCUACUUACUCUAAAUAGUAGUUUAUAAAAGUUUCAUACAAAUGAUAUACUGAUUUUUUUUUUCCGUCUAAGAAAAUGGAUACUAGUGUAAAAAAUGAAAUAUUACGGGUGGGAUAAAAGAUUCUCAUUCACAUUAAUAUUAUGAAAGUUUCAUUAAUCAAUUUAAUAUAAAUUGAUCAGAACUUUGGUCAUAAAUGGUAUUUGGUCAUAAAUGGUAUCAUUGAUCAGCAAUAUCAUCUGAUUGCGGGUAUUUGGUAAUUACAUUUUGACCAUUUGAGACCUCUUAGUCAUAAAGAAAUAAAUCAUAGUAAAACAAAUUUUACAUAUUUUGCUUUUAAAAUAAAAUUUCUUUUAAUGCGGAAUUAAUUUAGUUACGUAAUGUUAGUAGUAGCUAUAUGUUUAUUUAUUUUUUACCCUUUUUUUUGGAAUUUGUUUGUAAAUAACUCUUUUUAGAGCACAUCAAGAAUAAUUUUGAAAAAAUGGAUCAGAUCCUCUCAAUGGCACAUGAAUCAUGAUGGGUGAGAGAGUUUCAACUUCUUUCUAUCCACAACCCAUUAUUGACGCUCUGUUAUUUUUUUCUAACAAUCUGUUUUUGUUUCAGAUUUCGGCGAGUUGAGUUGGUCCUUGAACGCAUUUCCGAAGCAGUUGGGACCCUUGUCAGAAUUGUUACUCUACUCCAACAGUUAGUACAAAUGGAACAUGAUGGGUGAGAAAGUAUUUCAAUUUCUUCCUCCCCCAUAUCCCAUUAUUGACGCUCUGAAAAUUUUACUGUUAUUCUAACAAUUCCAUUUUUUUUUUCAGAUUUCAGCAAGUUGGGUCCCUUGUCAGCCUUGUUAAUCAACUCCUACGACUGAUACGCACAUGCAGAGAGAUUUGGUCUAUUUGGAUAACAGGACAACCUUCUGCUAAGGCCAAUGAUGGCUAA